GGCAGCGGGGGAAAGCUUGCUUUCCUGCCGGCGAGUGGCGAACGGGUGAGUAAUACAUCGGAACGUGCCCUGUAGUGGGGGAUAACUAGUCGAAAGAUUAGCUAAUACCGCAUACGACCUGAGGGUGAAAGUGGGGGACCGCAAGGCCUCAUGCUAUAGGAGCGGCCGAUGUCUGAUUACCUAGUUGGUGGGGUAAAGGCCUACCAAGGCGACGAUCAGUAGCUGGUCUGAGAGGACGAUCAGCCACACUGGGACUGAGACACGGCCCAGACUCCUACGGGAGGCAGCAGUGGGGAAUUUUGGACAAUGGGCGAAAGCCUGAUCCAGCAAUGCCGCGUGUGUGAAGAAGGCCUUCGGGUUGUAAAGCACUUUUGUCCGGAAAGAAAUGGCUCUGGUUAAUACCCGGAGUUGAUGACGGUACCGGAAGAAUAAGGACCGGCUAACUACGUGCCAGCAGCCGCGGUAAUACGUAGGGUCCAAGCGUUAAUCGGAAUUACUGGGCGUAAAGCGUGCGCAGGCGGUUGUGCAAGACCGAUGUGAAAUCCCCGGGCUUAACCUGGGAAUUGCAUUGGUGACUGCACGGCUAGAGUGUGUCAGAGGGAGGUAGAAUUCCACGUGUAGCACUGAAAUGCGUAAAGAUGUGGAGGAAUACCGAUGGCGAAGGCAGCCUCCUGGGAUAACACUGACGCUCAUGCACGAAAGCGUGGGGAGCAAACAGGAUUAGAUACCCUGGUAGUCCACGCCCUACACGAUGUCAACUAGUUGUUGGGGAUUCAUUUCCUUACUAACGUAGCUAACGCGUGAAGUUGACCGCCUGGGGAGUACGGUCGCAAGAUUAAAACUCAAAGGAAUUGACGGGGACCCGCACAAGCGGUGGAUGAUGUGGAUUAAUUCGAUGCAACGCGAAAAACCUUACCUACCCUUGACAUGCCACUAACGAAGCAGAGAUGCAUUAGGUGCUCGAAAGAGAAAGUGGACACAGGUGCUGCAUGGCCGUCGUCAGCUCGUGUCGUGAGAUGUUGGGUUAAGUCCCGCAACGAGCGCAACCCUUGUCUCUAGUUGCUACGAAAGGGCACUCUAGAGAGACUGCCGGUGACAAACCGGAGGAAGGUGGGGAUGACGUCAAGUCCUCAUGGCCCUUAUGGGUAGGGCUUCACACGUCAUACAAUGGUGCAUACAGAGGGUUGCCAAGCCGCGAGGUGGAGCUAAUCCCAGAAAAUGCAUCGUAGUCCGGAUCGUAGUCUGCAACUCGACUACGUGAAGCUGGAAUCGCUAGUAAUCGCGGAUCAGCAUGCCGCGGUGAAUACGUUCCCGGGUCUUGUACACACCGCCCGUCACACCAUGGGAGUGGGCUUUACCAGAAGUAGUUAGCCUAACCGCAAGGAGGGCCGAUUACCCACGGUAGGGUUCAUGACUGGGGUGAAGUCGUA
rnacentral:rRNA from 1 species